rnacentral:rRNA from 1 species
AAAGAGUGCGUAAUAGCUCACUGGUCGAGUGAAGUUGCGCGGAAAAUUACCGGGGCUAAACUAUACACCGAAAUUGCGGAUUUAUACAGUAGUAUAAGUGGUAGAGGAGCAUUCUGUUGUAGGACGAAGCAUGAUCGAAAGGACAUGUGGACGAAGCAGAAGAGAGAAUGCCGGAAUAAGUAGCGAAAGCAUGGUGAGAAUCCAUGCCAUCGAAAGUCUAAGGUUUCCUGGGGAAGGUUCGUCCGCCCAGGGUAAGUCGGGACCUAAGGUGAGGCCGAAAGGCGUAGCCGAUGGACAGCAGGUAGAAAUUCCUGCACCACCGAUAUACUUAAAAAGCACAAGGGACACAGGAGUGGAAGAGAAGCGAGGAAGAGGAAAAACUCGUAUCGAAAGAUAUAGUGAAAAUAAAGUAACGAAUUCUCAAGAAGCACACUGGCGAGAAAAGCUUGUGAGUCUUGUAUAUAGGUGCCCGUACCGCAAACCGACACAGGUAGAUGAGGAGAAGAUCCUAAGAUGAGCGAGAGAAGCAUUGUUAAGGAACUCGGCAAAUUGACCCCGUAACUUAGGGAUAAGGGGUACCAGUGUAACAGCUGGUCGCAGUGAAUCGGUCCAAGCAACUGUUUAACAAAAACACAGGUUUCUGCUAAAUCGAAAGAUGAAGUAUAGGAGCUGACGCCUGCCCAGUGCUGGAAGGUUAAGGGAAAGAGUUAGGGUUAAACCGAAGCUUAGAACUGAAGCCCCAGUGAACGGCGGCCGUAACUAUAACGGUCCUAAGGUAGCGAAAUUCCUUGUCAGGUAAGUUCUGACCCGCACGAAAGGCGUAAUGAUUUGGACACUGUCUCGACAAUGUACUCGGCGAAAUUGUAGUACUAGUGAAGAUGCUAGUUACCUGCGACAAGACAGAAAGACCCCAUGGAGCUUUACUGUAGCUUGAUACUGGGUUUCGAUAAUUUAUGUACAGGAUAGGUGGGAGACUAAGAGUCAUAGGCGUCAGCUUAUGAGGAGUCACCCUUGGGAUACCACCCUUAAGUUAUUGAAAUUCUAACCAAUCGUCGUAAACCGGCGAGGGGACAAUGUCAGGUGGGCAGUUUGACUGGGGCGGUCGCCUCCAAAAGAGUAACGGAGGCGCGCAAAGGUUUCCUCAGCACGGACAGAAAUCGUGCGAAAGAGUGCAAAGGCAGAAGGAAGCUUAACUGAGAGACUGACAAGUCGACCAGAUACGAAAGUAGGUCUUAGUGAUCCGGCGGUAGUGAGUGGAAAUGCCGUCGCUCAACGGACAAAAGUUACCCUGGGGAUAACAGGCUUAUCUCCCCCAAGAGUUCACAUCGACGGGGAGGUUUGGCACCUCGAUGUCGGCUCAUCACAUCCUGGAGCGGAAGUACGUUCCAAGGGUUGGGCUGUUCGCCCAUUAAAGUGGUACGCGAGCUGGGUUCAGAACGUCGUGAGACAGUUCGGUCCUUAUCUGUCGCAGGCGGAGGAUAUUUGAAGGGAGUUGGCCCUAGUACGAGAGGACCAGGCUGAACGAACCGCUGGUGCACCAGUUGUCAUACCAAUGGCACAGCUGGGUAGCUAAGUUCGGAAGGGAUAAACGCUGAAAGCAUCUAAGUGUGAAGCCCACCCUAAGAUAAGAUAUCCCAUACCGUAAGGUAGUAAGAUUCCACGUAGACUAUGUGGUUGAUAGGUUGGAGGUGUAAGUACAGUAAUGUAUUAAGCUGACCAAUACUAAUAAAUCGAGGGCUUAACCAC